CCUACGGGUGGCAGCAGUGAGGAAUAUUGGUCAAUGGGCGCGAGCCUGAACCAGCCAAGCCGCGUGAAGGAUGACUGCCCUACGGGUUGUAAACUUCUUUUAUAAAGGAAUAAAGUGAGGUACGUGUGCCUUUUUGUAUGUAUUUUAUGAAUAAGGAUCGGCUAACUCCGGGCCAGCAGCCGCGGUAAUACGGAGGAUCCGAGCGUUAUCCGGAUUUAUUGGGUUUAAAGGGAGCGUAGGUGGAUUGUGAAGUCAGUUGUGAAAGUUUGGGGCUCAACCGUAAAAUUGCAGUUGAAACUGGCAGUCUUGAGUACAGUAGGGGUGGGCGGAAUUCGUGGUGUAGCGGUGAAAUGCUUAGAUAUCACGAAGAACUCCGAUUGCGAAGGCAGCUCACUGGACUGCAACUGACACUGAUGCUCGAAAGUGUGGGUAUCAAACAGGAUUAGAUACCCGGGUAGUC
rnacentral:rRNA from 1 species